GGCGAAGAUGGAUAGUGCUUUAUAAUUUCUGACACCUCUUGUAUGAGAAAAGCUUUUUCCAAAGCAUUUUCUUUGAGCAGAGAUGGCAACAGUAUGAGCC